AUUGAACGCUGGCGGCAGGCCUAACACAUACAAGUCGAGCGGAUGAAGGGAGCUUGCUCCUGGAUUCAGCGGCGGACGGGUGAGUAAUGCCUAGGAAUCUGCCUGGUAGUGGGGGAUAACGUCCGGAAACGGGCGCUAAUACCGCAUACGUCCUGAGGGAGAAAGUGGGGGAUCUCCGGACCUCACGCUAUCAGAUGAGCCUAGGUCGGAUUAGCUAGUUGGUGGGGUAAAGGCCUACCAAGGCGACGAUCCGUAACUGGUCUGAGAGGAUGAUCAGUCACACUGGAACUGAGACACGGUCCAGACUCCUACGGGAGGCAGCAGUGGGGAAUAUUGGACAAAGGGCGAAAGCCUGAUCCAGCCAUGCCGCGUGUGUGAAGAAGGUCUUCGGAUUGUAAAGCACUUUAAGUUGGGAGGAAGGGCAGUAAGUUAAUACCUUGCUGUUUUGACGUUACCAACAGAAUAAGCACCGGCUAACUUCGUG
rnacentral:rRNA from 1 species